UACGGAGGGAGCAAGCGUUACUCGGAAUUAUUGGGCGUAAAGGGCGCGUAGGCGAUUCAGUAAGUCUUAUGUGAAAGCCCAGAGCUUAACUCUGGAAGUGCACGAGAUACUGCUGAAAUUGAGUUCCGGAGAGGAAGGCAGAAUUCCCGGUGUAGCGGUGAAAUGCGUAGAUAUCGGGAGGAAUACCAGUGGCGAAGGCGGCCUCUGGACGGAUACUGACGCUGAGGCGCGAAAGCCAGGGGAGCAAAGCGGG
rnacentral:rRNA from 1 species